AACGCACCUUGCGCUCCUUAGUAAUUGAGGAGCAUGCCUGUUUGAGCGUCAUUAAAUUCUCAACCUAACCAGCUUUUUGUGAGCUUGGAUAGGCUUGGAUCUUGGGGGUCUUUGCUGGCUUCAAGGAAGUCAAGCUCCCCUUAAAUGCAUUAGUGGGAACCUUUUGUUGAACCCUUCUUGUUCCCUGGUGUGAUAAACAUCUUUUUGUUAUCUACACCGUGGACGGUUUAUAAAGGGCUUUCUGCUUCUAACCCCCAACACUUUAUGAACUUUGACCUCAAAUCAGGUAGGACUACCCGCUGAACUUAA
rnacentral:misc_RNA from 1 species